AUCUCCCUCUUUCUGUCACUAGGGAGUUUGUGUUUCAUCACCCAAAGCAGUCCGGCUCUCUGAGCGUGAGGAAGACUGAGGUGAUGAAGAGGGGUUUGUUUUCCUCAGACGUGCUCCUCAUCCUCCUGCCCUCUCUGCUCGCCUCACACGCUCUGACGCUGGGUCUGGGAAUUUACAUAGGGAAACGGUUGGCCUCCUCCUCCACCAGCACACUGUGACAUGUGACAUUUGGCAGCUCACUGAUUGGCUGAGGCCGCUGCCACUAGCACUGUAGCCCAAUCACGCCUCUUUUCUCCUCCUGUGAUGGGAAACAGCCUCUUCUGCCUCUGUCUGUGUUUGUCCCGUUUCACCACAAAACCAAUCUGUCUGUGUCUCUUUCUCUGUAUCCACAUACAGUAUUUACAGGGGUCAUAUCAUGAGCAAUCAAUCUGUCCUUGAUAUUUCUAGAUAAAAGAGCCUGAUGUUCUAUGACACUAUAUGUUUCAGAAGGAUAUACAUGUUCAAAAGCUAUAACAACUUAUUCCGAACUCCUCUGAAGACCUAAACUUUAAGAUUGAUGUAUUUGAAUUGCAUAUAAAAUUUCCAUUCAUUUAAACUUAAUGUGAUGCAUUUUAAAUAACUAACUUUAUAUAUUUAUAAUCAAUAAAUCCAAUUUGUUUCAGUCUCAUACAUUUUAAGUAAACGAAUAUCGCUUAUUCCACAGCUAGCCAUAUUUUAACCAUGUUUAUACUUUUUAACUGAAUAAAUUUUAAUGUUUUCACAAUGGAACAGUUUAUUCUGAUUCUAAGCAAAUCAAAUAAAUGCAUUUUGAAAAUAUUAUUGUUUGAGUAAAAUAGAUGCAAAUAGUUAAUAAAAUAAUAAUGAAGUGCAGAAUUCAUACCUGUUUCUUAGCCACAUUAAGUUUAUUAGUUUAUAUCAGAACCGUGUAAUCCAAAGGGACGGAAAUUUUAUAUGCAAUUCAAAUAUGUAAAUAUUACAUUUAGGGCUAAAUAUUUCUGAUGUCAGACUGAUUAAUACGUUAUCACAUGACUGACCAAAUUUAGAUAUUCUAUAUGUUUUUGUGCAGAAUUUGCUGUAAGAGUUAGAACAGGUCAAAAAUGUUCAUGCAAAGAAAAUUACAAUUGUUUUUGGUGCAAAAAAGCAUAAGUGGAGCUCAGGGAAAACUUUAUGUAUGAUAUGACCCCUUUAACCACCUGUAAGAGUCUUUUUAAGACUAAACUGUCCCUUUAAAUCUUUUUGUAGUUGUUUCUGUAGUCCAUUAAGGACCGUGUGUGUCAGGUCUAAUACAGUACAAUUACUACAGGGAACA